rnacentral:rRNA from 1 species
CACGUAGGGCGCAAGCGUUGUCCGGAAUUAUUGGGCGUAAAGAGCUCGUAGGCGGUCUGUUGCGUCCGCUGUGAAAACUCGGGCUUAACCCCGAGCCUGCAGUGGAUACGGGCAGACUAGAGGUAGGUAGGGGAGAAUGGAAUUCCUGGUGUAGCGGUGAAAUGCGCAGAUAUCAGGAAGAACACCAAUGGCGAAGGCAGCUCUCUGGGACGGUACUGACGCUGAGACGCGAAGCGUGGGGAGCGAACAGG